AUGGCCAAAACCGGCCAGAAAUGGCCAAAAAUUGGGAUUUUGGGGGAAAUUAAGGAGGAAAUGGCCAAAAAUGGGGGGAGGGGCGGGAGCCGAGGCCGCCGUGGGGCAGAAGGAGCCGCGUGUGGGGCAGCCGCCCCCCACCCCCCCCUCCCUCUCCCGCUGCGCACCUGCGGCGCCGACAGCGCCCCCUGGCGGGCCGUGGGCUGCCUGGCCACCGGCUACCUCCCCUCCCACCUGGACUACUCCUGGUCCAGCUCCACCCCCCGAUCCAAAGCACCGCCCCCAUCCCGGAGGUCCGCACCGGCUCCGGCUUCUCGUCCGGGAGCACCGUCCGGCUGCCGGCCACGCCCACCGGCCCCCAGAGAUUCACCUGCAGCGUCCGGGCACGCGGCCACCAGCAGCAGCAAGAGCGUCGAGGUGUCAAGCUCCGCCCCCACCAAGAGGGUCACCUCCCCUCAACCCCCGACCCCAGGUCCUCCAAGCACCUCCCCGAGGCUCUCCGGCCUCGCCGCCGCCGCCUCCGUAGGGACCUCCAGGGCUCCCCACUCAACGCGGGGUGACCUCGGCGUGACCUCGGGGGGCCCCUCCAUCCCCGAAAGCUUGACCCCAGCGGGCGCCGCCGCCCACGCUCCCACCGUCGACGUCUUCCAAGCCUGCUCCGACGGCGGCGUGGUGGAGCUCAUGUGCCUGGUCAGCGGCUUCUCUCCUGCCCCAUCACCGUCACCUGGCUGAUGGACGGGCAGCCCUUGGACCACGCCCACACCGAGCCCGCCGCUCCCGGCGACGCCGCCGGCACUUUCCGCGUGGUGUCGCGCGUCAACGUCUCGCUGGGCGAGUGGAGGGAUGAGAGCUUCUCCUGCCGAGUGGCGCACGCGGCCUCCAGCACCGUCCGGGAGGCGCCGGCCAGGAGGUGUUCGGCCCAAUCGUCCAGCCCCAUCCGCGUCUUCGCCGUGCCGCCGUCGCCCUCGGACCUGUACAUCUCGCAGUCGCCCAAGCUGCUGUGCCUGGUGACCAGCCUGCCCAGCGACGAGGGCCUGGCGGUGACGUGGGCGCGGGCGUCGGGCGGCGCCCUGGAGCCGCUGCCGCUGCGGCUGAGCCACCAGUACAACGGCACCUUCACGGCCACCAGCGAGCUGCCGCUGGCCACCCGCGACUGGGAGAGCGGCGCCGCCUUCGUCUGCCGCGUCAGCCACGCCGAGCUGCCGGCGCCCGUGGAGCGGCGCGUGGAGAGGAGGCAGGGAAAGCGCCUCCCUCCCUCCGGUCUUCCUGCUGCCGCCGCCCCCCGAGGAAGCCGCCGGCUCCCGCCCCACGCUCUCCCUCACCUGCCUGGCCCGCGGCUUCUUCCCGGACGCCAUCGACGUGCAGUGGCAGCGCAACCAGGAGAGCAUUCCCGCCGGGAAUUCCGGGAAUUCCGCCGUGCAGACGGGGCCGGGUGCAGCGCGAGAAGGGGGGGGAGGGCUCCUAUUUCCUCUACAGCCGCCUCGAGGUGGACAGGGCCGAGUGGGAGCGCGGCUCCUCCUUCGUCUGCACCGUGGUGCACGAGGGGCUGCCCCUCCGCUUCGUGCAGCGCAGCGUCCACAAGAACCCCGGUAAUUAACGCAGGCGGCGCUAAUUGGCGUUAAUCGCUCCAUUAAAGGUCACGAAGCGGAUUUAUUUUGGUGGUUUUUGGGGAAAAAUCGGGGUUUUGGGGCCGGUUUGGGGACGGGGUUUUGGGGUUCGGGCUGGGUUUCGUCCAUAAGGAGUCCCUUAAUUACAGUAAAUAACUUAAUUAGCGAUAAUUAGUGAUAUUGAGUUGAUUAAAGGAGAUUUAUUGGUGAA